AGAGUUUGAUCAUGGCUCAGGACGAACGCUGGCGGCGUGCCUAAUACAUGCAAGUCGAACGAACUCUGGUAUUGAUUGGUGCUUGCAUCAUGAUUUACAUUUGAGUGAGUGGCGAACUGGUGAGUAACACGUGGGAAACCUGCCCAGAAGCGGGGGAUAACACCUGGAAACAGAUGCUAAUACCGCAUAACAACUUGGACCGCAUGGUCCGAGCUUGAAAGAUGGCUUCGGCUAUCACUUUUGGAUGGUCCCGCGGCGUAUUAGCUAGAUGGUGGGGUAACGGCUCACCAUGGCAAUGAUACGUAGCCGACCUGAGAGGGUAAUCGGCCACAUUGGGACUGAGACACGGCCCAAACUCCUACGGGAGGCAGCAGUAGGGAAUCUUCCACAAUGGACGAAAGUCUGAUGGAGCAACGCCGCGUGAGUGAAGAAGGGUUUCGGCUCGUAAAACUCUGUUGUUAAAGAAGAACAUAUCUGAGAGUAACUGUUCAGGUAUUGACGGUAUUUAACCAGAAAGCCACGGCUAACUACGUGCCAGCAGCCGCGGUAAUACGUAGGUGGCAAGCGUUGUCCGGAUUUAUUGGGCGUAAAGCGAGCGCAGGCGGUUUUUUAAGUCUGAUGUGAAAGCCUUCGGCUCAACCGAAGAAGUGCAUCGGAAACUGGGAAACUUGAGUGCAGAAGAGGACAGUGGAACUCCAUGUGUAGCGGUGAAAUGCGUAGAUAUAUGGAAGAACACCAGUGGCGAAGGCGGCUGUCUGGUCUGUAACUGACGCUGAGGCUCGAAAGUAUGGGUAGCAAACAGGAUUAGAUACCCUGGUAGUCCAUACCGUAAACGAUGAAUGCUAAGUGUUGGAGGGUUUCCGCCCUUCAGUGCUGCAGCUAACGCAUUAAGCAUUCCGCCUGGGGAGUACGGCCGCAAGGCUGAAACUCAAAGGAAUUGACGGGGGCCCGCACAAGCGGUGGAGCAUGUGGUUUAAUUCGAAGCUACGCGAAGAACCUUACCAGGUCUUGACAUACUAUGCAAAUCUAAGAGAUUAGACGUUCCCUUCGGGGACAUGGAUACAGGUGGUGCAUGGUUGUCGUCAGCUCGUGUCGUGAGAUGUUGGGUUAAGUCCCGCAACGAGCGCAACCCUUAUUAUCAGUUGCCAGCAUUAAGUUGGGCACUCUGGUGAGACUGCCGGUGACAAACCGGAGGAAGGUGGGGAUGACGUCAAAUCAUCAUGCCCCUUAUGACCUGGGCUACACACGUGCUACAAUGGAUGGUACAACGAGUUGCGAACUCGCGAGAGUAAGCUAAUCUCUUAAAGCCAUUCUCAGUUCGGAUUGUAGGCUGCAACUCGCCUACAUGAAGUCGGAAUCGCUAGUAAUCGCGGAUCAGCAUGCCGCGGUGAAUACGUUCCCGGGCCUUGUACACACCGCCCGUCACACCAUGAGAGUUUGUAACACCCAAAGUCGGUGGGGUAACCUUUUAGGAACCAGCCGCCUAAGGUGGGACAGAUGAUUAGGGUGAAGUCGUAACAAGGUAGCCGUAGGAGAACCUGCGGUUGGA
rnacentral:rRNA from 1 species